rnacentral:rRNA from 1 species
CGGUUGAUCCUGCCGGAGGUUACUGCUAUCGGAGUUCGAUUAAGCCAUGCGAGUCUAAAGGUUUCUUUCGAGAAACCUUGGCGGACUGCUCAGUAACACGUGGAUAACCUACCCUUGGGACUGGGAUGACCCCGGGAAACUGGGGAUAAUACCGGAUAAGCCAUAGACGCUGGAAUGCCCUAUGGUUCAAAGCUCCGGCGCCCAAGGAUGGGUCUGCGGUCUAUCAGGUUGUAGUGGGUGUAACGUACCUACUAGCCGACGACGGAUACGGGUUGUGAGAGCAAGAGCCCGGAGAUGGAUUCUGAGACACGAAUCCAGGCCCUACGGGGUGCAGCAGGCGCGAACACUUUACAAUGCGGGAAACCGCGAUAAGGGAACCCCGAGUGCCAGCAUCAAAUGUUGGCUGUCCAGAUGAUUAAAAAUCAUUUGUUAGCAAGGGCCGGGCAAGACCGGUGCCAGCCGCCGCGGUAACACCGGCGGCCCGAGUGGUAGCCGUUUUUAUUGGGUCUAAAGGGUCCGUAGCCGGCCUGAUAAGUCCUUUGGGAAAUCUGGCAGCUUAACUGUCAGGCUUCUAAGGGAUACUGUCAGGCUUGGGACCGGAAGAGGUAAGGGGUACUCCAGGGGUAGGAGUGAAAUCUUGUAAUCCCUGGGGGACCAUCUGUGGCGAAGGCGCCUUACCAGAACGGGUCCGACGGUGAGGGACGAAAGCUAGGGGAGCAAACCGGAUUAGAUACCCGGGUAGUCCUAGCUGUAAACGAUGCUCGCUAGGUGUC